rnacentral:rRNA from 1 species
AUUGAACGCUGGCGGCAUGCUUUACACAUGCAAGUCGAACGGCAGCGCGGGCUUCGGCCUGGCGGCGAGUGGCGAACGGGUGAGUAAUGCAUCGGAACGUGCCCAGUAGUGGGGGAUAGCCCGGCGAAAGCCGGAUUAAUACCGCAUACGGCCUGAGGGUGAAAGCGGGGGACCGAAAGGCCUCGCGCUAUUGGAGCGGCCGAUGUCGGAUUAGCUAGUUGGUGGGUAAAGGCUUACCAAGGCGACGAUCCGUAGCUGGUCUGAGAGGACGACCAGCCACACGGGGACUGAGACACGGCCCAGACUCCUACGGGAGGCAGCAGUGGGGAAUUUUGGACAAUGGGGGCAACCCUGAUCCAGCCAUGCCGCGGGCGGGAAGAAGGCCUUCGGGUUGUAAACCGCUUUUGUUCGGGAAGAAAUCCUCUGGGCUAAUACCCCAGGGGGAUGACGGUACCGGAAGAAUAAGCACCGGCGAACUACGU